GAUGAACGCUGGCGGCGUGCCUAAUACAUGCCAGUCGAGCGAACAGAUAAGGAGCUUGCUCCUUUGACGUUAGCGGCGGACGGGUGAGUAACACGUGGGUAACCUACCUAUAAGACUGGGAUAACUUCGGGAAACCGGAGCUAAUACCGGAUAAUAUUUCGAACCGCAUGGUUCGAUAGUGAAAGAUGGUUUUGCUAUCACUUAUAGAUGGACCCGCGCCGUAUUAGCUAGUUGGUAAGGUAACGGCUUACCAAGGCGACGAUACGUAGCCGACCUGAGAGGGUGAUCGGCCAAACUGGAACUGAGACACGGUCCAGACUCCUACGGGAGGCAGCAGUAGGGAAUCUUCCGCAAUGGGCGAAAGCCUGACGGAGCAACGCCGCGUGAGUGAUGAAGGUCUUCGGAUCGUAAAACUCUGUUAUUAGGGAAGAACAUACGUGUAAGUAACUGUGCACGUCUUGACGGUACCUAAUCAGAAAGCCACGGCUAACUACGUG
rnacentral:rRNA from 1 species